rnacentral:rRNA from 1 species
AUACGUAGGUGACAAGCGUUAUCCGGAUUUACUGGGCGUAAAGGGCGUGUAGGCGGUCUUGCACGUCAGAAGUGAAAUUCCUGAGCUCAACUCGGUUCGUAUUAAAAACUGGCAGAAUUGAGUGCAGUAGAGGCAAGUGGAAUUUCUAGUGUAGCGGUUAAAUGCGUAGAUAUUAGAAGGAACACCAGUGGCGAAGGCGGCUUGCUGGGCUGUUACUGACGCUGAGACACGAAAGCGUGGGGAGCAAAUAGGAUUAGAUACCCUAGUAGUCCACGCCGUAAACGAUGAGUACUAAGUGUCGGGUAACCGGUGCUGAAGUUAACACAUUAAGUACUCCGCCUGAGUAGUACGGUCGCAAGGAUGAAACUCAAAUGAAUUGACGGGG